rnacentral:rRNA from 1 species
UACGAAGGGGGCUAGCGUUGCUCGGAAUCACUGGGCGUAAAGCGCACGUAGGCGGCUUUCUAAGUCAGGGGUGAAAUCCUGGAGCUCAACUCCAGAACUGCCUUUGAUACUGAAGAUCUUGAGUCCGGGAGAGGUGAGUGGAACUGCGAGUGUAGAGGUGAAAUUCGUAGAUAUUCGCAAGAACACCAGUGGCGAAGGCGGCUCACUGGCCCGAUACUGACGCUGAGGCACGAAAGCGUGGGGAGCAAACAGGG